AAUCACAACUCCGCACGAUGACAAGAAACAACAGGAAAAGAGGGACAUGACAAUAAGAAACAAACGAAAAAGAAAACGUUACCAAGAAGGAAAGGGAAGAAGGGCGAAGAAGAAUAAGCACAGGAACGAUGAAGUGUAGAGAAAGGAAAAAAAAAUGCCUCCACACUCAACACAUCAGUUAUCUACCUUUCUUAAAACACUUGUCAGGGAUAGGGACUCCAGAUGAUGCCUUACACGACCACAUUAGACAAGGCCAUCGUAGAGGUUGUGUUAGUGUUUCCAUGGGUUUAUAGCUUUAUGAGCCUAGUGAUAGUUUGACAAGGCCUCUGCACCAUGAACGUGAAAAAAAAGCACUCAUGAGAACUAGACUAAUCUCUUUGGUGACCUUUGGAUAUAUUUGUUAUCAGAGCCGAAAGCAUUUGAGAAGCCUUUGUUUUCCUAUAAGAUAACACAGUUGAAGAAAACAUAAGUUCGGUAUUCUCAAACGCUUCUGCCCCUCACAUGAACUAUUUCCAAAUGGCCAAAAAGGAGGUUAGUUAAUUCAUUAGGUUAGCAUGAGUGAUUUUGCCUCGUUCACGUUACGGAAGGUUUAUCAGACUACCACCAGGAUCGUAAAAUUACCAAUGGAAAUGCCCACCACUCCCACGAAAGCCUUGUCAAUGCUUAAGUGCAGAGUCACCAGGCUGUGGUUUCUCUGGGGACAUGCCGAGAUCGGAGUGCCCUAACCUGGGACGCCAAAGUGAAGGAAGAGUCGCUUUGAAAGGUCACCUGAAGGCACACACACUCAAAGGAGGAAGAGGAACGGGAAGAGGAGGAGAGAGGGACAGCAGGGCGCCAAUGUCCCCCUCGUAUCUCUCGGUUACUAAACGUGACACGCACUCACUCACACACGCCACACACCGGUUCUUACCAGUGGAGGGCAGUUUGUCCGUCAGUGUAUCAGUCAUUAACAUUGCUAAAGAAUCCAGGACGAAACUAACGAACCUAAAGAGUGAAGAGCGAGAGGAGAAGGAAGACGAGAAGGACAAAGAUAGCGACAAGGAGGAGGAGGAGGAGGACGACAAGAACGAAAAAAGAAAGAGAAAAGAAAAUGCUGAAGAAAAUAACGAUAAAAGGAAGGAAUACAAGGAUAAAGGACUUAAAAUACAGAAGACGAGAAGGACGAAGAUAACGACGAAGGAAGGGUGAAGACGAGAACAACGAAGAAGUGGAAAGAGAAAAGAAAAUGCUGACAAAGUAGAGAACGAUAAAGGGAAGGAAGACAACGAAAAAGGACUUAAAAUACAGCAGACGAGAAGGACGAAGAUGGCGAGGAGGAGGAGGGUGAUGACGACAACGAGAACGAAGAAGUGUAAAGAGGUAAGGAAGUGAUGAGGACGAAAAACGAGAAAGGGAAGGAAGAAAACGAAGAAAGUCAACAAAAAAUGAAAACGAGAAGGACGAAGAUGACGAUGACAACAACGAGGAAAAGUGAAAACAAAAGAGGAAGUGAUAAGGACGAAGAGAACGAGAAAGGGAAGGAAGAGAACGAAAAAGGACUUAAAAUACAAAAGACAGAGUGGACAUGAGAUGAAGCUAAAGAGAAUAGAAAGAAAAAGAAAACAGUGGACGCUACAUACUGCCUGGCCAACCCUUCAUGUGUCUGACCCUGGCUUUUUGUGUUACAGGACCUCUUGCCUCUAACCCGGCCUGGUUCGAAUCCCCGCAUCCACCUCAACCCAGCAACAGGUCAGAGGUCAACGGUUUCAUUAGCUGCUGCAAAAAUCAAAUUUCGUGCAGCAGUUCUUUUUUUCAUUCCCAGUGUCUUCUUUACUGAAUACAUACUUUACUAUGA